ACAACAGCCGGCGACGGCAACGGCCGGAAGAGAGGACACAAUGUCGGAAACCACCAUGUUCUUGCUCAUGGACCGCUUCGCGCCGAGCUGACCGCAACCAAUCUUCUUUUUAUUCUGUAAAUCACCAGGAAUCUUGCUUUCUCUACAUAUCUCUUCACAACUACGUGUGUAAUAUUCUGUAUCAUAUUGCAACUCCUAAUCUUGAUUAUUAUAUGCACAUUUAACUCAAAUAUAAUACAAACCAACGAAUCAACUAUAUUAAGAAGCGCUAGGGUCCAUGGUAAUGCUCUCGCAAGACGACUCAUUCAUGCUAACCGGCUGCAUCUCAUCAUUCCACUUCAGAAUCUCUCGACCGUACCGAAGAGCCCUGUCCACGCUCUCGGCCUCCAACCCCGUCCCCGUGGAAACAAACAGUUUCCGAUCAGUCAGUGAAGUGAACAGCCUCUUGAACUUAAGCG
rnacentral:lncRNA from 1 species